AUCUAACAUGAGAAUAUACAGGGAAACAAUGCAUGGAAAAGCAAAACAAAGGACAGACGAACAUUGGCAAAGGAGACUGACUUGUGAUGUGAGGGUGGAAAUGAGCAUGGGAUGACCAUGCAGAGAGCAAUAGUGAUGGGAUGAAGAACAGUGGUGUGUCAGCACUGUGCCGAGCACACAAGAGUGAAACCCCGUAUUGGUGAGAGUAUAGCUUUAAGAAAAAAAAAAAAAUCACGUGACCGAUACAGGAAGUGUGUCGUUUGGAUGUGCCGUGCCAAAUUGUGUUUAUAAGGAAACAAACUGUGUCGACAUGUUGCGGAUUUGUUGGAUGUAGUUUUGCUUUUGGAUUUUUGCUUGCUAUCACCUUGUUCCACUGACUUUAUGGAUCGUUCCAAGAAGUUUUCCCCAGUCUGGAAUAAUUUUGAUCUUUUGACACCAAAUAAGGUAAAGGGGCGAUCUUACAUCAAUAAGAACACUUCAUCAAUGCUGAGGCCUUUUUGAGCUCAGCAUGGCAAUGAAAAAUUGGCAGAUACUCGUUUCUUAACAAGCAAGCAGUAGAUGAGGCUGUGGUCAACAUGAUCAAAGAUGAUCAGCCACUCGCCAUUGUUGAAAAUGAGGGAUUCGGGGAGCUCCUGAAGCUUAUCAACUCACACUUAAAUUUUUAUGCUCACCAUCUUCAGCUGUACACUGUGAAAGAGUUUUUCUAAGGCAGGGGAACUGGUGUCUAAGACGAGAAAUCGCAUUGGCGCAAAACUUUUGUUCCUCAAUAAAAAUGCAUAAAUGAAUCAAU